GGCGGCGUGCUUAACACAUGCAAGUCGAGCGGAAAGGCCCUUCGGGGGUACUCGAGCGGCGAACGGGUGAGUAACACGUGAGCAACCUGCCCCUGACUCUGGGAUAAGCCUGGGAAACCGGGUCUAAUACCGGAUAUGACCGUCUCCGGCAUCGGGUGACGGUGGAAAGAUUUUUUGGUCGGGGAUGGGCUCGCGGCCUAUCAGCUUGUUGGUGGGGUAGUGGCCUACCAAGGCGACGACGGGUAGCCGGCCUGAGAGGGCGACCGGCCACACUGGGACUGAGACACGGCCCAGACUCCUACGGGAGGCAGCAGUGGGGAAUAUUGCGCAAUGGGCGGAAGCCUGAGCCAGCGACGCCGCGUGGGGGAUGACGGCCUUCGGGUUGUAAACCUCUUUCAGCAGGGACGAAGUUGACGUGUACCUGCAGAAGAAGCGCCGGCUAACUACGUGCCAGCAGCCGCGGUAAUACGUAGGGCGCAAGCGUUGUCCGGAAUUAUUGGGCGUAAAGAGCUCGUAGGUGGCUGGUCGCGUCUGCCGUGAAAGCCCGCAGCUUAACUGCGGGUCUGCGGUGGAUACGGGCCGGCUAGAGGUAGGUAGGGGCAAGUGGAAUUCCUGGUGUAGCGGUGAAAUGCGCAGAUAUCAGGAGGAACACCGGUGGCGAAGGCGCUUUGCUGGGCCUUACCUGACGCUGAGGAGCGAAAGCGUGGGGAGCGAACAGGAUUAGAUACCCUGGUAGUCCACGCUGUAAACGUUGGGCGCUAGGUGUGGGGGUCUUCCACGAUCUCGUGCCGGAGCUAACGCAUUAAGCGCCCCGCCUGGGGAGUACGGCCGC
rnacentral:rRNA from 1 species